CAAAGACAACCAUGCUGGGAGUCAGAGCGUCAAUAAAUGGAUUUGGGGAGAACACCAACAUUCAGUCUUUAAAAAGGGAGUCUAAAUGCCUCAAGUAAGACCACCACACGAAAUCUUCUUUUGCCAGUCUUUGUUGAAACAAAGUGCAUGAAACCUUCAUUGUUUUCUGGGAAAGUCAAAGAGAGCUGCCCAAGAUCAUCAAUGAGCGCUAACCCUCCUUGGUUCACCUACUACAGCAAUGAAUAGGCAUCUAGAAAUAUUUGUAGAAUGAGUUUAAGAAGGAAAAGAUAAGAUGAUGCGAUUCCCUUGCUAAGCCAGGUCACCUUUAAGAGCCCGGGGAUGGCCGUCGCUCCUGAAUUGCUCGCUAGCCCUCACCAGAGAUGCCUGCCCGUGCAAAACCUGUGACAAAGGACUGAAAUGACAGCACUCUGACUCACUCCUACAUUGUGUUUGUUUAGGAAGGCCCUAGAAAUUGUAUUUCACCAACCACAUUCGCUAUCAACACACAAUUAUCUGGCUUAAUCAUGUGGAACAGUGGCAAAUUCACCUGGGGCUUAAGAACUAAUGACAUUCUCGUCUGAGCUGCUUUAGUGAAAUGGCCUAGCACCUGAAGCAGGAACAGCAAGAUUGCUCAAGAAAAUUUGGUUUUCUGUUUUCAUUUCACAGCAUAGGGCCUCUGCUCAAAUCAACAAACACUCCUGAUUAAUAGCUGUGGUGGGCGACUUCUUCGCACGCGCGUGUGUGGCUCUGAAUGUACAUUGAGCACCCCAACCUUUACAGGAAAAGAAUGGUCUGCGACUUGUUGGUGAUGCAUUGUCUUUUUGA